rnacentral:rRNA from 1 species
GAAUGCUGACAUAAGUAACGAUAAAGCGGGUGAAAAGCCCGCUCGCCGGAAGACCAAGGGUUCCUGUCCAACGUUAAUCGGGGCAGGGUGAGUCGACCCCUAAGGCGAGGCCGAAAGGCGUAGUCGAUGGGAAACGGGUUAAUAUUCCCGUACUUGGUGUUACUGCGAAGGGGGGACGGAGAAGGCUAUGUUGGCCGGGCGACGGUUGUCCCGGUUUAAGCGUGUAGGUGUGUGUUCCAGGUAAAUCCGGUUCACUUUAACACUGAGGCGUGACGACGAGGCACUACGGUGCUGAAGCAACAAAUGCCCUGCUUCCAGGAAAAGCCUCUAAGCAUCAGGUAACAUCAAAUCGUACCCCAAACCGACACAGGUGGUCAGGUAGAGAAUACCAAGGCGCUUGAGAGAACUCGGGUGAAGGAACUAGGCAAAAUGGUGCCGUAACUUCGGGAGAAGGCACGCUGACACGUAGGUGAAGUGAUUUACUCAUGGAGCUGAAGUCAGUCGAAGAUACCAGCUGGCUGCAACUGUUUAUUAAAAACACAGCACUGUGCAAACACGAAAGUGGACGUAUACGGUGUGACGCCUGCCCGGUGCCGGAAGGUUAAUUGAUGGGGUCAGCGCAAGCGAAGCUCCUGAUCGAAGCCCCGGUAAACGGCGGCCGUAACUAUAACGGUCCUAAGGUAGCGAAAUUCCUUGUCGGGUAAGUUCCGACCUGCACGAAUGGCGUAAUGAUGGCCAGGCUGUCUCCACCCGAGACUCAGUGAAAUUGAACUCGCUGUGAAGAUGCAGUGUACCCGCGGCAAGACGGAAAGACCCCGUGAACCUUUACUAUAGCUUGACACUGAACAUUGAGCCUUGAUGUGUAGGAUAGGUGGGAGGCUUUGAAGUGUGGACGCCAGUCUGCAUGGAGCCGACCUUGAAAUACCACCCUUUAAUGUUUGAUGUUCUAACGUGGACCCGUUACCCGGGUUGCGGACAGUGUCUGGUGGGUAGUUUGACUGGGGCGGUCUCCUCCUAAAGAGUAACGGAGGAGCACGAAGGUUGGCUAAUCCUGGUCGGACAUCAGGAGGUUAGUGCAAUGGCAUAAGCCAGCUUGACUGCGAGCGUGACGGCGCGAGCAGGUGCGAAAGCAGGUCAUAGUGAUCCGGUGGUUCUGAAUGGAAGGGCCAUCGCUCAACGGAUAAAAGGUACUCCGGGGAUAACAGGCUGAUACCGCCCAAGAGUUCAUAUCGACGGCGGUGUUUGGCACCUCGAUGUCGGCUCAUCACAUCCUGGGGCUGAAGUAGGUCCCAAGGGUAUGGCUGUUCGCCAUUUAAAGUGGUACGCGAGCUGGGUUUAGAACGUCGUGAGACAGUUCGGUCCCUAUCUGCCGUGGGCGCUGGAGAACUGAGGGGGGCUGCUCCUAGUACGAGAGGACCGGAGUGGACGCAUCACUGGUGUUCGGGUUGUCAUGCCAAUGGCACUGCCCGGUAGCUAAAUGCGGAAGAGAUAAGUGCUGAAAGCAUCUAAGCACGAAACUUGCCCCGAGAUGAGUUCUCCCUGAGACUUAAAGUCUCCUGAAGGAACGUUGAAGACGACGACGUUGAUAGGCCGGGUGUGUAAGCGCAGCGAUGCGUUGAGCUAACCGGUACUAAUGAACCGUGAGGCUUAACC